GAAAGAAAGAGAGAAAGAGAGAGAGAGAGAGAUGCAGUGAAAAUAUGGGAUAUCGUGUCAUAUGAGAGUGGAUGCAUACAUCUAGCAAUAGGUGUAAUCUUGCGAUCACAUUUCUUUCCCUCUUCCUCUUCCUCUUCUGUUUCUCUCUCUCUCUCUUUCUCUUCGGAGAUUGUGAGACAGAGAGGAAAACAGAUAGUGACAUCCUUAGAAACUGCAUU
rnacentral:ribozyme from 1 species